rnacentral:rRNA from 1 species
CAAAGGUUAAUUCCGGUGGCGGAUGGGCAUGCGUCGCAUUAGUUAGUUGGCGGUGUAACGGACCACCAAGACGACGAUGCGUAGGGGUUCUGAGAGGAAGGUCCCCCACACUGGUACUGAGACACGGACCAGACUCCUACGGGAGGCAGCAGUGAGGAAUAUUGGUCAAUGGGCGGGAGCCUGAACCAGCCAAGUCGCGUGAGGGAUGACGGCCCUAUGGGUUGUAAACCUCUUUUGCCGGGGAGCAAAGUGCCGCACGUGUGCGGCUUGGAGAGUACCCGGAGAAAAAGCAUCGGCUAACUCCGUGCCAGCAGCCGCGGUAAUACGGAGGAUGCGAGCGUUAUCCGGAUUUAUUGGGUUUAAAGGGUGCGUAGGCGGACGCUUAAGUCAGCGGUAAAAUUGCGGGGCUCAACCUCGUCGAGCCGUUGAAACUGGGUGCCUUGAGUGGGCGAGAAGUACGCGGAAUGCGUGGUGUAGCGGUGAAAUGCAUAGAUAUCACGCAGAACUCCGAUUGCGAAGGCAGCGUACCGGCGCCCAACUGACGCUGAAGCACGAAGGCGUGGGUAUCGAACAGGAUUAGAUACCCUGGUAGUCCACGCAGUAAACGAUGAAUGCUAGUUGUCCGGGGCGAUUGAGUUCUGG